rnacentral:rRNA from 1 species
AUGGAGGCGGCGAUAAUCUGCGCGCUGCUGAAGACCACGCUGCCGAAGGCCCUGUCGGCGCUGGGCGGGAGCAGGGACGUCCGGUCCAUCCAGUCGGAGCUCAGGUACAUCGAGGCCGCCAUCCAGGACCACCGCAGGAGGAGCGGCGGCAGGGACACGAGCCACCUGCGGGCGGCGUGGAUCCAGGACCUCACGCUCUUCGCCUUCGACAUCGAGGACUGCGUCGACCGCUUCCUGCGGCAGGAGAUGCCGCCGGAGGACGGCGAGGCCGGCUUCCUCCGCCGCUCCGCCCACGCCGCCAGGAGCACGGUGUUCACGCGCACGUUGUUCUCCCUCAGGAUCCGCAAGCUCAAGGCCAGAUCCGAGGAGAUUCACCGGCGCCUGAAGCGGUACAUCGAGGAGGCGGCGGCGGAGGGGACGAUACCAGACGGCGGCGGGGCGCCGGUCCCUGCCGCUCGGUGCGGUGCUCCGGCGGCGGCCGUGGGGAUGGACGAGCCUCUUGGGGAGCUUCUUGAGCUCGUGCGGGAACCUGGGGGGCCGUCGGAGGGGAAGCUCAGGGUGAUCUCCGUCGUCGGCUUCCAUGGCCUGGGCAAGACUCUUCUUGCCCACCAGGUGUUCGACCACGGCGACGUGCGCCGCCUGUUCCCUCUGCGGGUUUGGGUUUGCGCCGCGGGCAAGGGCACGCCAGAGCUUCUGAAGGAGAUGCUCGAUCAAGUGCUCCAGAAUGGUGCGGGCACCUCCGCCGACAGGGCCCGGCAGGUUGACUCUGCACCUGUGACCACCACGACCACCUACAAAUCCAACUGCGUCAUCCCAGAGGUCGAGGAGAAUGGCAUUGAGGAAGUCCAGAAUGGUGAGAGUGCCUCAGCCGGUGUCGCCAACGGCGGCAGUACAUGGCGCCAGUGCCUCCAAGCAGUUUGGUGGACUCUCGCGACGAUACUGCUGUACAUCUUGUCCCCGGCGUUCACCGUGGCAAACAUGGUGCGAGCCUCUUCUGUCCAAGAUGAGUCUGCAGACAUACAUACUGCUACUGCGAAUGUGAGUAUCUCCACAAGCACCAAGAUCGCCGCACAAGUCGAUGAGAACAAGAGUGUCCAGAUGAAGAGGCAAGCUGACAGGGGCAAGGCUAUUCAGGAGGACACUCACUUGGAAGGUGUAUGUGAUACAACGCUCAUCGAACAACGUCUAGGAUCAUACCUGAAGAAUAAAAGGUAUUUGAUUGUAAUUGAUGGCAUGCAAACAGAAGAAUUGUGCAACAUAACAUCUGUAUUCCCUGUGGAUGACGGAGUGGACAGCAGAGUUAUUGUGACGACAACCAUUAAGAAAAUAGCAAGACGCUGCAGCUCUGCCAAUGGCCGUGUGUACAAAAUGAAAACACUUGAUGACAAUGAUUCAAGAAAGUUGUUCUUCGAAGUAUUUUCCAAGGGUAAGUAUUCCGUUGCUGAUGCAACGGAGUUGAAAGCAUCUGCCCUCCUAGAGAAAUGUGGCGGCCUACCGCUUGCCCUUGAAAGCAAAGCAAAGUUUCUGAAGAGUGAAGAAGACCUGACCAAGAGUAAAUGUGAAGAUGCCUGCCGCAAGCUUUGUGCUCCAGAAAGAUGUGAGGACACAUUGGGAAGAAUGCAUGGGGUUCUCGCCAGCAGCUACGAGAGUCUAUGUAGCCUUGUUCUCCAGCAGUGCUUGCUAUAUUUCUGCAUGUUCCCGCGUGGCCAUCGUGUCAGGCGGAAUCCUCUAAUCAGGCGGUGGCUGGCGGAAGGACUUGUACAUGUACAACCAGGGGAUGCAGUGAGCACCACACCCCAAGACAUCGCAAUUGAGAAUUUGGAGACCCUGAUCGACCGUAGUAUCAUUCAGUCCACGGAAGUGAGCACCUGUGGGAAUGUGAAGAGAUGCCAACCUCCUGGGAUGAUGCUCGAGUACAUUGUCCGCAAGUCCAUGUCUCAAAAUUUCAUCACCUUGCUUUGUGGUGAGAGUGAGACGGCCGGAGAAUGGGACUACGUUCGCCGACUUUCUCUCCAUGAUUACUGUGCUGAAAAACUGCCCAAGGGCUUAUCUCGUCUGCGGACCCUGGCGGUAUUCCCUACCGGGGAUGCUGCUAAACACGGACCUACAUUGAAUUUUGCCAAGUAUGACCUACUGCGAGUGUUGGAUUUAGAAGAAUGUGAUGGUCUGAAUGACGGGCACCUCCAGAACAUAUGCAACCUUGUGUUUCUGAAAUAUCUGAGCCUCGGGGGGCGCAUUAGUGAGGUUCCAAAGAAAAUUGCCAAGCUGCAAUGGUUGGAGACACUGGACCUGAGAAGAACCAAGAUAGAGAAGGUGCCCAUAGAAGUCAUCCAGCUCCCCCAAUUAAAACAUCUCCAUGGCAAAUUUCAGCUUAUCGAAGGUGACUGCGGAAAGAUAAAUUCAGAGUACUUGUCAAAGAGAAGUAUCUUGGAGACACUUUCAGGAUUUGUUACGGGAGAGAGCGAAGGAUUUCCACAGCUGAUGAGGCACAUGAAGCGGCUGAGGAAGGUGAAAAUAUGGUGCGAAUCCACCGCAAAUAGAAGAAACCUGGACCAACUUGAGGAAGCCAUCAAGAUGUUCAUUCGUGAUGGGAACGAAUGGCCUCAUCGUUCCCUAUGCAUUAACUUCCAAGAAUGCUCAGACCCAUUCUUGGGUUCUCUGAAAGCCCCUGGCAGUCUUGCCUCGCUGAAGCUGCGCGGCAACCUCAGCGGAUUCCCUCAGUUUGUUACCAAGCUGAACAGAAUCGAGGAGCUGUGUCUGUCGUCGACUAACCUAAGCCGAGGUGUUCUUCUAUCUGGGAGUCGUCUGGACACACUUAAGUAUCUGAAGCUGAUCGAAGACAACAUCGGGCCUCUCGAAAUACGCCACGAGCACUUCCCAAGCAUCCGGCGCAUAUGGCUCGUCGGCGUGAAAAGUCUGCACUCUGUAACGACCGGAGCUCUGCCACAUCUUACUUCGCUUCAUAUGAUCUGUGAAUCUUUAGAUGGUCUUGCUGGCAUCGAAAUCGGACGCCUAGAAGGAUUAAAGGAAGUCAGGCUGCAUUCUGCAGUCGACCAAGGAACAAAAGAUGCAUGGAAGGAAGCUGCAAGGAGCCACCCUAAAAGGCCUGACGUUCUUCUUCACUGA